GAAACGUUGACUCAGACCGACCUGAUUCCAACAUGGCAACAUCCGUAUCAUGGAACUAUGGCGAUUGAAUUGACUGGAACCAAAGGGUCACAGGGAGGAAUCAAAGCCGUUGUCCUGGGAUUCAAACCGCCGGCGUGGAGCGGCGGUAAUUUCUCCUUCUCAUCUCAGCUUUGAUGUGGAGCUCUGAGGAGCGAAGGUUGACUGAACAGACUGAGCAAUGAGGCCAGGAAGGGUGUUGGAACAACUGUCCGGACACCUCAUCCAUCACGGUGAACCGGAGCAGCAGCAGCAGAGAGAAGAAAACGUUCCAGCUCUUAAUCCAAAGGCGCUUCAACCUCAGAACAUUCAUCUAAAGAGUUGGUGACCUUCAGAGCUGAUCAGUCACCAAAAGUGAGAGUUGAUAUUUCAAUUGUUGGUGUUGAACUGGAUUAAGACGAAACUAAAUACACUUUAAAUUACUUUAA